rnacentral:rRNA from 1 species
UACGUAGGGUGCGAGCGUUAAUCGGAAUUACUGGGCGUAAAGCGUGCGCAGGCGGUUCGCUAAGACCGAUGUGAAAUCCCCGGGCUCAACCUGGGAACUGCAUUGGUGACUGGCGGGCUAGAGUAUGGCAGAGGGGGGUAGAAUUCCACGUGUAGCAGUGAAAUGCGUAGAGAUGUGGAGGAACACCGAUGGCGAAGGCAGCCCCCUGGGCUGAAAUUGACGCUCAGGCACGAAAGCGUGGGGAGCAAACAGG